CUCAGGAUGAACGCUAGCGAUAGGCCUAACACAUGCAAGUCGAGGGGCAGCAUAGGGUAGCAAUACUUGAUGGCGACCGGCGCACGGGUGAGUAACGCGUAUGCAACCUACCUAUAACAGGGGAAUAACCCGGAGAAAUUCGGACUAAUACCGCAGUAAAACAGGGGGCUCCGCAUGGAGAUAUUUGUUAAAGAUUUAUCGGUUAUAGAUGGGCAUGCGUUCCAUUAGCCAGUUGGUGAGGUAACGGCUCACCAAAGCAACGAUGGAUAGGGGAACUGAGAGGUUUGUCCCCCACACUGGAACUGAGACACGGACCAGACUCCUACGGGAGGCAGCAGUGAGGAAUAUUGGUCAAUGGGCGAGAGCCUGAACCAGCCAAAUCGCGUGAAGGAAGAACCUGCCUUAUGGGUUGUAAACUUCUUUUAUACAGGAAUAAAAGAGUUACGUGUAACUUAUUGCAUGUACUGUAUGAAUAAGCAUCGGCUAACUCCGUGCCAGCAGCAGC
rnacentral:rRNA from 1 species